rnacentral:rRNA from 1 species
CAGCCGCCGCGGUAAUACGAAGGGGGCUAGCGUUGUUCGGAAUUACUGGGCGUAAAGGGCGCGUAGGCGGCCAUUCAAGUUAGAUGUGAAAGCCCUGGGCUCAACCUAGGAAUUGCGUUUGAUACUGUUUGGCUUGAGUUCGGGAGAGGUGAGUGGAAUUCCCAGUGUAGAGGUGAAAUUCGUAGAUAUUGGGAAGAACACCAGUGGCGAAGGCGGCUCACUGGACCGACACUGACGCUGAGGCGCGAAAGCGUGGGGAGCAAACAGGAUUAGAUACCCCUGUAGUCCCUGUCUCUUAUAC